GCACAAGCGGUGGAGCAUGUGGCUUAAUUCGACGCAACGCGAAGAACCUUACCAAGGCUUGACAUACACCGGAAAGCAUUAGAGAUAGUGCCCCCCUUGUGGUCGGUGUACAGGUGGUGCAUGGCUGUCGUCAGCUCGUGUCGUGAGAUGUUGGGUUAAGUCCCGCAACGAGCGCAACCCUUGUCCUGUGUUGCCAGCGUGCCCUUCGGGGUGACGGGGACUCACAGGAGACCGCCGGGGUCAACUCGGAGGAAGGUGGGGACGACGUCAAGUCAUCAUGCCCCUUAUGUCUUGGGCUGCACACGUGCUACAAUGGCCGGUACAAUGAGCUGCGAUACCGUGAGGUGGAGCGAAUCUCAAAAAGCCGGUCUCAGUUCGGAUUGGGGUCUGCAACUCGACCCCAUGAAGUCGGAGUUGCUAGUAAUCGCAGAUCAGCAUUGCUGCGGUGAAUACGUUCCCGGGC
rnacentral:rRNA from 1 species